rnacentral:rRNA from 1 species
UGAACCUUCGGGGAACGAUAACGGCGUCGAGCGGCGGACGGGUGAGUAAUGCCUAGGAAAUUGCCCUGAUGUGGGGGAUAACCAUUGGAAACGAUGGCUAAUACCGCAUGAUGCCUACGGGCCAAAGAGGGGGACCUUCGGGCCUCUCGCGUCAGGAUAUGCCUAGGUGGGAUUAGCUAGUUGGUGAGGUAAGGGCUCACCAAGGCGACGAUCCCUAGCUGGUCUGAGAGGAUGAUCAGCCACACUGGAACUGAGACACGGUCCAGACUCCUACGGGAGGCAGCAGUGGGGAAUAUUGCACAAUGGGCGCAAGCCUGAUGCAGCCAUGCCGCGUGUGUGAAGAAGGCCUUCGGGUUGUAAAGCACUUUCAGUCGUGAGGAAGGUAGUGUAGUUAAUAGCUGCAUUAUUUGACGUUAGCGACAGAAGAAGCACCGGCUAACUCCGUGCCAGCAGCCGCGGUAAUACGGAGGGUGCGAGCGUUAAUCGGAAUUACUGGGCGUAAAGCGCAUGCAGGUGGUUUGUUAAGUCAGAUGUGAAAGCCCGGGGCUCAACCUCGGAAUAGCAUUUGAAACUGGCAGACUAGAGUACUGUAGAGGGGGGUAGAAUUUCAGGUGUAGCGGUGAAAUGCGUAGAGAUCUGAAGGAAUACCGGUGGCGAAGGCGGCCCCCUGGACAGAUACUGACACUCAGAUGCGAAAGCGUGGGGAGCAAACAGGAUUAGAUACCCUGGUAGUCCACGCCGUAAACGAUGUCUACUUGGAGGUUGUGGCCUUGAGCCGUGGCUUUCGGAGCUAACGCGUUAAGUAGACCGCCUGGGGAGUACGGUCGCAAGAUUAAAACUCAAAUGAAUUGACGGGGGCCCGCACAAGCGGUGGAGCAUGUGGUUUAAUUCGAUGCAACGCGAAGAACCUUACCUACUCUUGACAUCCAGAGAACUUUCCAGAGAUGGAUUGGUGCCUUCGGGAACUCUGAGACAGGUGCUGCAUGGCUGUCGUCAGCUCGUGUUGUGAAAUGUUGGGUUAAGUCCCGCAACGAGCGCAACCCUUAUCCUUGUUUGCCAGCGAGUAAUGUCGGGAACUCCAGGGAGACUGCCGGUGAUAAACCGGAGGAAGGUGGGGACGACGUCAAGUCAUCAUGGCCCUUACGAGUAGGGCUACACACGUGCUACAAUGGCGCAUACAGAGGGCGGCCAACUUGCGAAAGUGAGCGAAUCCCAAAAAGUGCGUCGUAGUCCGGAUUGGAGUCUGCAACUCGACUCCAUGAAGUCGGAAUCGCUAGUAAUCGUGGAUCAGAAUGCCACGGUGAAUACGUUCCCGGGCCUUGUACACACCGCCCGUCACACCAUGGGAGUGGGCUGCAAAAGAAGUAGGUAGUUUAACCUUCGGGGGGACGCUUACCACU